AUACCAUGCUCUUCCGAGGGUAUGGGAUGAUUAUUGGGCUUAAAGCGUCCGUAGCCGGCUUAGCAAGUCUCCUGUUAAAUUCAGCGACCUAAUCGUUGAGCCGCGGGAGAUACUACUAGGCUAGGAGGCGGGAGAGGUCGACGGUACUUCUGGGGUAGGGGUGAAAUCCUAUAAUCCCAGGAGGACCACCAGUGGCGAAGGCUGUUGACUAGAACGCGCUCGACGGUGAGGGACGAAAGCUGGGGGAGCGAACCGGAUUAGAUACCCGGGUAGUCCCAGCCGUAAACGAUGCGGGCUAGGUGUUGGGGUGGCUACGUGCCACUUCAGUGCCGCAGGGAAACCAUUAAGCCCGCCGCCUGGGGAGUACGGCCGCAAGGCUGAAACUUAAAGGAAUU
rnacentral:rRNA from 1 species